rnacentral:lncRNA from 1 species
UGGCCACAAGGCUUGCCUCUCUGCAUCCUCCCUCCUGCUAGGUCACAGACACUGGGCUUCCAGCAAGCCGUCCUUGCACAUCAACCCUCUCUUUGCUCUGCGGAGCCUUAGACCAACACAGCUGCCCUUGACCCAUCUGUGAUUCCUUUAGGCCAGGUUUCCACUGCUGCAUUGUGGCAAUCCCCAUUCCUAUGUUUUGGUUUGUUUUUAAUUCCUCGAACCCCAGCCUUUUUUACCUCAUAGAACUCCUGCUUCCUUUAGAGGAAGGGCAUGGGUUUUUCUUUCUUUCUUUCUUUUUUUUUUUGAAGGCUCUGAGGAGAGAAGUAGGAGGAAUUUGGAGUCAAGCUGUCUUCUUGGACCCCUCAUGAAUACGAAUAACUCGAACCCAUGCUGAUGUGUAUUUUUGAAGCUCUGCCUGAGUUGCUCUCUGUUCUGUGAUUUGAAGGAUGAAGAGACUGGAGUGAUAUGGAAUGUCAGGUCAAGAUGUCCCCUUUGCAAAUAACUAGGAGGUUUCCAGGAAUGCAGAUAAAGUGAUGGUAUAGGCCUCUCCUUUUUAAUCCUCGAGUUGUCUGAAGUGCAGACAAAACAA